ACUUAUAUGGGUUGAUGGGAAAAUGGAGAAAAACUGGUGUAUUCAUAAAGGUCUGCAAAUGACUUAUAAUAUUCUGCGGUAAUAAUAGAAAGUCCACAUACUGCCACAUAAGCACAUGCCCACUGAAGUAAAACGGGAAAACAAGCAAAAAAAUCGUAUCUCUUUUACGCUUAUUUGAAUGAAUUAGAGAAGUUUUUGCCCAGAUAACACUGAUGUACAUUGUAUGUUAGGGAUGAGAUGGCAACUGGAAGAGUGAACUCCUGCUAAGAACCAAAGACAGGACAACAGGUACCUCCCGUGGUACCUCCUGUGUGCACAGAUGACGAACUAUGCAAAAUCUCAUCGCCUACAAAAAGUCAAGACCAGCUGGAGACUACCAUGAUGGUAAAACUACUGCCCUGAGAUACUACUGAACUUCCAAGCCCAAAUCAACCAAAACUUUGUGGUGAGUCUUCCUCCAUCUUUUCUGAAAACAACUACACCAAAAUACUAAAAGUACUUGUGAAAUCUUGAGCUAGGUUUUAUAAGCUUAUACACUAACAUAAUUAACUUAAUAAAUAAAUUUUAAAAAUCCCUCUGAACACAGUGAAACUUAAAUAAAGGUUUUGUAAACUAUUCCCUUCCUGCCCAUUCCUCUCUAGAGAGGGCCUGCCCACUCCCUCCCUUCUAGAGAGAGCCAGUUCCCCCCAGUCCUUCCGAAAAGUCUCUUUUUACCACCCUGUGCCACUAGCAGACCUCAGUGACCGUGAUCUGCCUCUCCAGGAACCUCUGCCUGUACCCCUGCCUGUACUCUGCCCACUAGCUCCAUUUCAGCCCAGUCCUGGGCUAUGGGAUAAGUGUGCCUGUCUCCAGCCCUGCCCCUUCAGUGACCCUAUGCAGUAGUUAGCCCAUCACUCAGAUAGACCCCUCAGAUGUAUGUUAAAUCUUUUCUGCAGUCCCUUGGUUGGAUGUUGGACCCAUGCUGUAGCCUUGUCUCCAACCUGUCUCUGACUCCAUCUCCUUUUACUCCUGGCUGGAGGUCCUGGAUGAAACCCAG